UUAAUUGAAGAGUUUGAUCAUGGCUCAGAUUGAACGCUGGCGGCAGGCCUAACACAUGCAAGUCGAGCGGCAGCACAGAGAAACUUGUUUCU
rnacentral:rRNA from 1 species